CUACGGGGACAACAUUCCGAAAGGAGUGCUAAUACCGGAUGUGAUCAUCUUGCCGCAUGGCAGGAUGAAGAAAGAUGGCCUCUACAAGUAAGCUAUCGCUAAAGGAUGGGCCUGCGUCUGAUUAGCUAGUUGGUAGUGUAACGGACUACCAAGGCGAUGAUCAGUAGCCGGUCUGAGAGGAUGAACGGCCACAUUGGGACUGAGACACGGCCCAA
rnacentral:rRNA from 1 species